UAUGAAGGGGGCUAGCGUUGUUCGGAAUUACUGGGCGUAAAGCGCGUGUAGGCGGGUCUUUAAGUCAGGGGUGAAAUGCCAAGGCUCAACCUUGGAACUGCCUUUGAUACUGGAGAUCUUGAGUCCGGGAGAGGUGAGUGGAAUUGCGAGUGUAGAGGUGAAAUUCGUAGAUAUUCGCAAGAACACCAGUGGCGAAGGCGGCUCACUGGCCCGGAACUGACGCUGAGACGCGAAAGCGUGGGGAGCGAACAGG
rnacentral:rRNA from 1 species